rnacentral:rRNA from 1 species
GGGUGGUAAUGCCGGAUGCUCCAGUCCAUCGCAUGGUGGUCUGGGAAAGAUUUCAUCGGUAUGGGAUGGGGUCGCGUCCUAUCAGGUAGUCGGCGGGGUAACGGCCCACCGAGCCUACGACGGGUAGCCGGCCUGAGAGGGCGACCGGCCACAUUGGGACUGAGAUACGGCCCAGACUCCUACGGGAGGCAGCAGUGGGGAAUAUUGCACAAUGGGCGCAAGCCUGAUGCAGCGACGCCGCGUGCGGGAUGGAGGCCUUCGGGUUGUAAACCGCUUUUGUCGGGGAGCAAGCCUUCGGGUGAGUGUACCCUUCGAAUAAGCACCGGCUAACUACGUGCCAGCAGCCGCGGUAAUACGUAGGGUGCAAGCGUUAUCCGGAAUUAUUGGGCGUAAAGAGCUCGUAGGCGGUUCGUCGCGUCCGGUGUGAAAGUCCAUCGCUUAACGGUGGAUCUGCGCCGGGUACGGGCGGGCUGGAGUGCGGUAGGGGAGACUGGAAUUCCCGGUGUAACGGUGGAAUGUGUAGAUAUCG